AGGCGGAGACUUGGGCAAUUGCCAGCCAUCCCAGAGGGCAUUGCACUUGUCUCGGUCUGA
rnacentral:pre_miRNA from 1 species